AUUCUUUUAGUAUAAAAGUAUAUUUGACUUCCAAUCAAAAGGUCUAAUUAGUAGAAAGAAUA
rnacentral:tRNA from 1 species